rnacentral:tRNA from 1 species
GCUCCUGUAACUCAGUCUGGAUAGAGUGUCAGCCUUCUAAGUUGAAAGUCGCAGGUUCAAAUCCUGUCAGGAGCG